rnacentral:rRNA from 1 species
AACGUACGCUGGCGGCACGCCUUUCACAUGCAAGUCGAACGAAGUAGCAAUACUUAGUGGCAGACGGGUGAGUAACAUGUAGGUAUCUGCCCUUUGUCCUGGAAUAACACGAGGAAACUUGUGCUAAUACCGGAUAAGUCUUUACGGAGAAAGCUUUAUGCACCAUUGGAUGAGCCUGCACUUGAUUAGUUUGUUGGUGGGGUAAUGGCCUACCAAGACUGUGAUCAAUAGCUGAUUUGAGAGGAUGAUCAGCCACAUUGGGACUGAGACACGGCCCAAACUCCUACGGGAGGCAGCAGUGGGGAAUCUUGCACAAUGGAGGAAACUCUGAUGCAGCGAUGCCGCGUGAGUGAAGAAGGCCCUUGGGUUGUAAAGCUCUUUCGUCGGGGAAGAAAAUGACUGUACCCGAAUAAGAAGGUCCGGCUAACUUCGUG